UUUAAUUGAGAGUUUGAUCCUGGCUCAGGAUAAACGCUGGCGGCGUGCAUAACACAUGCAAGUCGAACGAUGAAGCUUAGAUGAUUUCUUCGGAAUGAACUUAAGUGGAUUAGUGGCGAACGGGUGAGUAACACGUGAGUAACCUGCCUUACACAAGGGGGAUAGCCUCUGGAAACGGAGAAUAAUACCCUAUAAAGUCUAAUCAGCACAUGCUGGAAAGACCAAAGAUUUAUCGGUGUAAGAUG
rnacentral:rRNA from 1 species